rnacentral:rRNA from 1 species
UACGAAGGGGGCUAGCGUUGCUCGGAAUCACUGGGCGUAAAGCGCACGUAGGCGGAUCUUUAAGUCAGGGGUGAAAUCCUGGAGCUCAACUCCAGAACUGCCUUUGAUACUGAGGAUCUUGAGUCCGGGAGAGGUGAGUGGAACUCCGAGUGUAGAGGUGAAAUUCGUAGAUAUUCGGAAGAACACCAGUGGCGAAGGCGACUCACUGGCCCGUUACUGACGCUGAUGCGCGAAAGCGUGGGGAGCAAACAGG